UACAGAGGGGGCAAGCGUUAUUCGGAAUUAUUGGGCGUAAAGGGCGCGUAGGCGGUUUGGUAAGUCAGUUGUGAAAUCCCUGGGCUUAACCCAGGAACUGCAUCUGAUACUGCCAAGCUAGAGUGCGAAAGAGGAGAGCGGAAUUCCCGGUGUAGAGGUGAAAUUCGUAGAUAUCGGGAGGAACACCAGUGGCGAAAGCGGCUCUCUGGGUCGACACUGACGCUCAGUGCGCGAGAGCGUGGGGAGCAAACAGG
rnacentral:rRNA from 1 species